GUUGCUUCGGUGUUAAAAGACACCUGUUUAUAUGAUUUAAACGUGUGCUUUUACACUGGUUUCUGACAGUGUAUUUAGGAGUGGUUUGCUAGGGUUUUAGGACAUCUGUUUUAACUUGUGCUUCUUGAAAAAAAAAUACAAUGCGUUCCUUUAAAGGAUUGGGUUUGUCAUAUGCUUAGACACCUGUUUCUGAUAAAACGUAUAUAGGAAGGGGUUCACACAGGUGUCGGGACAUCUGUUUAUGUAGCUAAUGCUUUUAAGUGUAAAUCUAUAAGGAGUGACAGUUAUUCAAAAUAGGGUGUGAAGGUUCGCAUUGCAUCAGUGUAUUAUUAGAGUGUUUAAAAGUGAACAUUUAUAAAGUGCUUACACUUUCACCUCAAAAUAUUUAUAACCCCUCUUAUUUUUAAAAAGAAAAAAACUUUGACCCCAAUAUUUUAUAACCCCCUCAUAUUUAUGGCCCCAUUUGAAAGGGGGUGUUAUAAUUAUGCACCCACACCCAAGGGGCUUUGGGUGUUCAGUGAUACUACACUACUUGGAACAUUUCUAUGAAUGUAUUAUAUGGGUUAUAUGCCUUUACUCCAAGACAGAGCAAAACAAUUAUAUUAAAUUUGAAUUUUUCAUUUUUUUGGCAUUUAGUUUUAAUUGUUCGAAAUACUUGCAACCGGACUUUAACAAACAUCUAUUUUCUUG
rnacentral:lncRNA from 1 species